UACGAAGGGGGCUAGCGUUGUUCGGAAUCACUGGGCGUAAAGCGCACGCAGGCGGAUUGAUAAGUCAGGGGUGAAAUCCCGGGGCUCAACCUCGGAAUUGCCUUUGAUACUGUCUGUCUUGAGUCCGGGAGAGGUGAGUGGAAUUCCUAGUGUAGAGGUGAAAUUCGUAGAUAUUAGGAAGAACACCAGUGGCGAAGGCGGCCAUCUGGACCAGUACUGACGCUGAGGCACGAAAGCGUGGGGAGCAAACAGG
rnacentral:rRNA from 1 species